GUGCUCGCUUUGGCAGCACACAGACUACAGUUGGAACCAUACAGAGAAGGUUAGCAUGGCCCCUGUGCAAGGAGGACACACACAAAUUUGUGAAGUAUUCCAUAUUUUU
rnacentral:snRNA from 1 species